GCAGAGCGAGUGUCUGAAGAUCCACAGUGCUCAAUGCAGCUCCUGUGCUGGGUCCCUGUAUUACUCGGAGCAAAAAGCCUCAAAGUUCCAACAAAGAGUGCAGGCAGAAAAGUGAUUGGAGUGUGCUCUGCAAAUGCACUUGAGGAAAGCGGAACCACAGGGUCAGAGAGAAGCUGGAAACUUUCAAGCCUACAUGAAAAAAUGAGGUUUGUAGAGAAGAAAAGGUGAGGAAAGGGAGCAGACAGAGAUGACCAGUGACACCCCAGCAAAAUCUGCCCUGUGGCUACUGAGAGAAAAUUGCAAGUGACUCGUAAGAAAAAAGUCAAAUUUCUACUCUUGGUAAAAUAUACUCACUGCAUGGAAAUAGCCAAUAUCACUGGAUAAAAUUCACAGUUUUAGUGAAGGAUCAACAGAAUCUCUUAAAAGGAAUUACAAACUAGUGAAAUACGUGGUGAUUAUUGGGUUUUGAGUAGUAUACUAAGAACAUAUUUUUCUUAUCCCAUCAUCAUCCUUUUCCAAGACGGAAUUUAGCAACAAUAUUGCCUACUGUCUGCUGCUUCAUAAAUUAUAUUCUCCAAGAAUUGAUAGCAUUAGUCAUUACUAAACUUGUUGCAAUCAUCGAACUAUAAUUUUGUUCACUUUCAGGAGUCUGAAAACAGAACUGAACACUAAACUCUAAUGGGUACUAAUUAUGUUGAAACAUAUUCACUGGAUACUUUAGCAGUUCUCAAAAUGAACACAGCAUCUUCAAGACCAUUUCAGUGUACAAGUAAAUUGAAAUCAAUUUUCAUGAGAUUACGUUAAUGACAACUGUUUUCGCUACGUUGACUUUUAUACUGAAUGUCCAAAAAAACUAUUAAUACUAUACUUCUGGUAUUUUAGAACAAACCAAGGCCAUUACCAAACUGUGUGGCCACUUUUUUUCACUACCAGUACAUCCACUUCCGCUUAAGAAUGCCCUUGAUGACAGGUAGUAGGAAGAGUGUUUCCAUUUGGGUUAAUAAAAAUGACCUAAGUUUGACUGUGGGCAUAGUUGUACAAUUCUGUCAAUGUGCUAACAUCUACUGAAUCUUACACUUCAAGUUUGUAAAUUGUGCGGUAUGCAAAUUUUUAGCUUACUAAAGUGGUUUUAUUUUUAAAAAAGAAUGCCCUUGAUCAAACAGCAAAAAUCAUUGUUGUUAAAUCUGGACCCUUGAGUGCAUGUGUUUUUAAUAUGUCAAGUGACAAGAUGGGAAGUACACAUACUAUUACUGCAUACCAAAUUUCAGUGGCUGUUAUGAGAAAAAUCAUUUCUGUAAUUGUUUCAACUGUGAACUGAACUUUAUUUUCUUUAGUAAAAGGUGAAAGAUUUAUAUGAUCUGAAGAGAAACCAGACACUACAUUUUCAUAAAACAUAAUUUUUACUGAAAAGAACAACUGGAAGACAGAUAUGAUUAUUCAGAUUGGAUAUUUGGCAUAUACUUUCUUAAAACUGAAUAAAGUAAGCCUGUCCCUUAAAGAAAACAGCUGAACAACUGACAGUAUUUAUUGCCAAUAACAAUUUAAGCUUCAAGUGAAAGCUUCCAUUAGCUUGACAGCUUUCCAAUACUUAAAGAAUUUUCUUAUGAAUUUGUUGGUGAAAUUAAUGAACAGAAAUUCUUGAUAUUGCAAAAUGAAAUUCAUCAACAUUUACAAGAGGUGCAUAACUCAGCAUCACAAUAUUUUCUAAAUGUUCAAUGCAUCAUAUUAAAAAAAUCACCUGAAUACCUUCAAAUUACAUGAUAGACAGUGGAUUCUAAAGUUAAAAAAAAGUUUAUUGUUAUAAUUUUAGGUUCCACAUUAUGAAUAACCUUUAAGAAAGUCAUACUUAUCAAGUUUGAGUGUAUUAUCAAAGAAGACUAUUCAUUUACAACUAUCUAUAAAGACUAUUAAAAUUCACAUAUGUUUUCAAUUAUAUGAUGUGUACAAGGCUGGAUUUUCUUAAUUUAUUUCAACCAGAGCACCAUGACAUAAAAUAUUGCUUAGUAAAACAAUAACCCACAGCAAUCUCUAUUCAGCGUAACAUUAGGGAGAUUUGCAAAAAUGGAAAACAUGAACAGUACCAUUCUUCUCACUAAAAUUUUAUUUGAAAACUACAGGGUUUCAUUUGUGCGUUAUUGUUGUGUUAUUUAUUUUUGGUGUUACUAGGGAUCAAACCCAGGACCUUGAGUAGUAACCUACAUCUCUGAAAUCAUGUUAAUUUAGGAAAAUAGACAGAACUGAAGAUCAUUGUGUUAUGUGAAGUAAACCAGACUCAGAAAAACAAGUAUUAUGUUUUUUGGAUAUGAGGGAUUUAGGAAGAAAACAACAAUAUGAAAGUAGAGGGGAAACUACCGGAGAAAAGGAAAGGGACUGGGAGUAGGGAAAAAAGAGGGUCACAGGGAGGAUGCAGUGAUUUUAACCAUGAUGUCACCUUGAAUAAAGUCCACCUAGCCGAUUGGUUUAGCAGAGUUCUUGAUGUGUCUGGAUGAUUGACUUACUGACAAGGGAAGACCCACCCUGUAUAUAAGUGGCACCAAUCAAAAGGCUUGUAGCUUUUGUAGCAAAAGGGUAAAAGAAUGUCUCUCUGUGGCUUCUACUUCAGAGCUCCAGUCUUCUCCAUCAUCUUUGCCAUCCACCUCCAGGCUUUCAGCACAAACUUUCAGCCUUCUAGUGCAGACCCUUUGGCGCCUGAUCCUGAUUCACAUGGGACACUGCAGUGAGCUCAGGGCCUUCAACUUCUGACUGGAUCCUCCAGCUCUCUGGUGCACAGGCAGCCCUUUUGCAUUCUUCCACACCUGAUCCUGCAGGUUGUCAAUGUAAGCCUGCUUUGUAAAUCCUAUCAUACAUAUACAUAUAUUUUUAAAAUUUUAAAUCUGUUCUAGUGAACUAUAAUGAAUAUGAGUAUCAUCAAAAUAUCAUACACAUGUUUACAAAUGUCAUUAAAAUCCCAUAUUUCUGUACAAUGAAUAUGUGCUAAUUGAGAACAUUAUUUAUGUUAAAUGCAGUGGGAUAGUUAAUUAUUGGUUCUUAAAUGAAUUAGUAUUAAUAUUUUUGAAACAGGCUCUAUGUAAUUCAGGCUAGCUUUUAACUCAUUAUGUAGCCUGAACUGGCCUUGAACUCAUGGUGAUCCUCCUGAUGCCCCAUGCCCAGCUAGUAUUAAAAUUUUAAAACUCUAUUUCAAUUUGUACUUUUAUAAAUUAGUGUAUAUAAUAUAUAAUUAAAAUUUGUUUGUGUCUUCAGUAGUCUUUCAAAGUAUAAAGGAGCCCUAAACCCACAAGUUAUGAGAACUCUGCUUUUUUUGGGAAAAAAUUCUCUACUAAUUGUGAUAUCUAUCAUAUCUGUGAAUUGUUAUUAAAUGCUGUCUUUAUUUCACAAAUUGUACCAGUCAAAGGGAAAAAUCUGAGGCUCAGAUUUUAUUUCAAAAGAUUUGAAACACUUGUCAUAUUAUAAUAAAAUUAUAAGUCCAUUCAUACUUCCUCUUCUCUACAGCUUUUGUUGAGACUAUAAAUCAACACUCUGAGUAGUCCUAAGGGAAUUCUGCAAUGGCACUGAUGCUACACUUGUAGCCAACCUAUACCAACUUUUAUUGCCUCAUAUCAGAAAGCAUGAGUGUUGACUCUCCCUCUUCUCAGAAAGUUUUUUUGCCUUCCUAGAACACACACUAUGAGGCUCCCAUGAGUUUUUAUUUUUCUCCUGCCUUUGGGGAUCUUAAUCCCGUGGAGCUCUAACCACAAAACCUAAAGCUUCCUUCUGUUUCCUCCUGACAGCCCACGGGAAGUCUCUAAAUAGGGCAUUUACAAGUGAAAAUUAGACUUGGAUCCAUAGAUCAAGGUUUAUGCAAUUUGCUACAGUCAUGACCAUGUUCCCGAAUUCAUAAAUAUACAUUUAUUUAAUAAAAAGAUAUAGAAACAGGAUGUUUGUUAGAUAAACUUUUUAAAGUUACCUAACCAGAUAUUUUUUAUCAGUACAGAAGUUUUAAAUAAGGAAAUGUGGAGAUACACCAUGACAUGUGAGGCGGGGGUGGAGAUGAGCACUAGAGACCGCAGUGUAAUCUGAGAUGUCACAACCUAAGAAGUAGGCUGAGGGGCCUUCCUGAUAAUUUAGGUCUCUGCCCCUGAGGAUAUAGAUAAGUCUAGAAUACUGAAGAAGAAUCAUUUGAGUUACUAUUGUACAUCCUGUAACAAUCCUAUCUUUGUCCCCAGGAAAUUCCUGACUAUCUUGAAAGUAAGAUUUAGGGGGGUAAUGAGGAGAGAUAUUUAUUUUCUGCGUGAGUGCUCUUCAGAGAGGAUCCUCAUUGCUGCCUGGCUCAUCAAGCAGCAAUUCACAUUUGACCCACCUGUUUCACCUUCUAACUUUACAUUCUCACCUUAUCUCUCAAAAUAAUAGUAUGCUCAUUUUUGUCUGAGCAAAUUUUAGUCAGCUGUAACUCUCUUUCCCAGCUUCCCUUUUCUCUAAGUACUAAUGGAAGUCUCCUAUAAAACUUCCCAAAACCCUCAGUAGGGAAGAGAAUGUACUCUUCCAUACCUUUUCUCUACCCUUCCCCUAGAAAGCAGACAGGAUUCUUCUGUAGUGACCGUCCUGGGGAUCUGCAGGAUGGAUAUGACUACAGGUCAUGUUUGCUCUGUAGCAGAGUGGUGAUCUGAUAGGAAUUUGAGUCCCUGUGGCCAUGCAGCUGUGGAUUGUUCUCCCGUACAAUUCUGUGUGUGAAAAAAUGAAUAAACUUUUUAUCUUACUUAAACCAUGUCCUUUCAAGUUUCUGCUACAAAAAGCCCCGUGCUGUUCUAACGGGUAUACCAUCCACCACCUUUUUCAUUUUUACUUUUCCAAAGUAUAUGUAGAGCUAGGCUAUUU
rnacentral:lncRNA from 1 species